rnacentral:lncRNA from 10 species
ACCAUCUUGGCUAGGCUGGUCUUGAACUCCUAACCUCAGGUGAUCCACCUGCUUCAGCCUCCCAAAGUGCUGGCAUUACAGGCAUGAGCCACCACGCCUGGCCUCAGUGUGCUAGUAUUUUAUUGAGGAUGGUUGCAUCUAUACCUGACACUUGAAAAACUUGGGGGUUGGGAUGCCAAACCCCCACACUGUUGAAAAUCCAUGUAUAACUUUUGACCCCCUCAAAACUUAACUGUGGCUAGAUUUACUUGAGUAAAAAAUUUAAAAACUUAACUACUAAUAGUGUACUGUUAACCAGAAGCCUUACUGAUAACAUAAACAGUUGAUUGACACAUAUUUUGUAUGUUAUAUGUAUUAUAUACUAUAUUCUUACAAUAAAGUAAGCUAGAGCAAAGAAAAUGUUAUUAAGAAAGUCAUAUGGCAGAGAAAAUGGAUUUAUUAUUUAUUAAGUACAAAUAGAUAAUCAUAAAGGUCUUUGUCAUCUUCAUGUUGAGUAGGCUGGGGAGAAAGAGGAAGAGAAGGGGUUGGCCUUGCUGUCUCAGGGGUGGCAGAGGUGGAAGAAAAUCUGCCUAUAAGUGGACCUGCACAGUUCAAACCCAUGUUGGUCAAGGGUCAACUGCAUAUUCAUAAAGGCUAUUGGUUUGUAGUUUUCUUUCUUUGUGAUGUCUUUGAUUAUGGUUAUCAGGGUAAUACUGACCUCAUAGAAUGAAUUGAGAAGCGUACCCUCCCGUUCUAUUUUUUGGAAGAGCUUAAAGUAUUGGUGUAAUUUUUCUUUAAAUAUUGAUAGAAUUCACCAGUGAACCCAUCUGGUGUUUCUUUGUGAGAGUUUUUUAAAUGGCUAAUUUAAUCUAUUUACUUUUUAUACAUCUGUUC